rnacentral:rRNA from 1 species
GGUCUGACAAGUUGGAUGUGAAAGCUCCUGGCUUAACUGGGAGAGGUCGUUCAAAACUGUUAGACUUGAGAGUGGUAGAGGGAGGUGGAAUUCCGGGUGUAGUGGUGAAAUGCGUAGAUAUCCGGAGGAACACCAGUGGCGAAAGCGGCCUCCUGGACCAUUUCUGACGCUCAGACGCGAAAGCUAAGGUAGCAAACGGGAUUAGAGACCCCGGUAGUCUUAGCUGUAAACGAUGUGAACUAGGUGUCGGUGGGUUCAAAUCCAUCGGUACCGAAGCUAACGCGAUAAGUUCACCGCCUGGGGACUACGGCCGCAAGGUUAAAACUCAAAGGAAUUGACGGGGCCCCGCACAAGCAGCGGAGCGUGUGGUUUAAUUCGAUGCUACACGAAGAACCUUACCAGGGUUUGACAUGCAAGUGGUAGGAAACCGAAAGGUGACCGACCCUUCGGGGAGCUUGCACAGGUGCUGCAUGGCUGUCGUCAGCUCGUGUCGUGAGAUGUUCGGUUAAGUCCGCUAACGAGCGCAACCCUCGCUGUGUGUUACAAGUGUCACAGG